GAUGAACGCUGGCGGCGUGCCUAAUACAUGCAAGUCGAGCGAACAGACGAGGAGCUUGCUCCUCUGACGUUAGCGGCGGACGGGUGAGUAACACGUGGAUAACCUACCUAUAAGACUCGGAUAACUUCGGGAAACCGGAGCUAAUACCGGAUAAUAUAUUGAACCGCAUGGUUCAAUAGUGAAAGACGGUUUUGCUGUCACUUAUAGAUGGAUCCGCGCCGCAUUAGCUAGUUGGUAAGGUAACGGCUUACCAAGGCAACGAUGCGUAGCCGACCUGAGAGGGGGAUCGGCCACUCUGGAACUGAGACACGGUCCAGACUCCUACGGGAGGCAGCAGUAGGGAAUCUUGCGCAAGGGGCGAAAGCCUGACGGAGCAACGCCGCGUGAGUGAUGACGGUCUUCGGAUCGUAAAACGCUGUUAUGAGGGAAGAACAAAUGUGUAAGUAACUAGGCACGUCUUGACGGUACCUAAUCAGAAAGCCACGGCUAACUACGU
rnacentral:rRNA from 1 species